UGGGGAAUAUUGCACAAUGGGGGAAGCCCUGAUGCAGCGACGCCGCGUGGAGGAAGAAGGUCUUCGGAUUGUAAACUCCUGUUGUUGAGGAAGAUAAUGACGGUACUCAACAAGGAAGUGACGGCUAACUACGUGCCAGCAGCCGCGGUAAAACGUAGGUCACAAGCGUUGUCCGGAAUUACUGGGUGUAAAGGGAGCGCAGGCGGGAGAACAAGUUGGAAGUGAAAUCCAUGGGCUCAACCCAUGAACUGCUUUCAAAACUGUUUUUCUUGAGUAGUGCAGAGGUAGGCGGAAUUCCCGGUGUAGCGGUGGAAUGCGUAGAUAUCGGGAGGAACACCAGUGGCGAAGGCGGCCUACUGGGCACCAACUGACGCUGAGGCUCGAAAGUGUGGGUAGCAAACAGGAUUAGAUACCCUGGUAGUCCACACCGUAAACGAUGAUUACUAGGUGUUGGAGGAUUGACCCCUUCAGUGCCGCAGUUAACACAAUAAGUAAUCCACCUGGGGAGUACGACCGCAAGGUUGAAACUCAAAGGAAUUGACGGGGGCCCGCACAAGCAGUGGAGUAUGUGGUUUAAUUCGACGCAACGCGAAGAACCUUACCAAGUCUUGACAUCCUGCGACGCACAUAGAAAUAUGUGUUUCCUUCGGGACGCAGAGACAGGUGGUGCAUGGUUGUCGUCAGCUCGUGUCGUGAGAUGUUGGGUUAAGUCCCGCAACGAGCGCAACCCUUAUGGUCAGUUACUACGCAAGAGGACUCUGGCCAGACUGCCGUUGACAAAACGGAGGAAGGUGGGGAUGACGUCAAAUCAUCAUGCCCUUUAUGACUUGGGCUACACACGUACUACAAUGGCGUUAAACAAAGAGAAGCAAGACCGCGAGGUGGAGCAAAACUCAGAAACAACGUCCCAGUUCGGACUGCAGGCUGCAACUCGCCUGCACGAAGUCGGAAUUGCUAGUAAUCGUGGAUCAGCAUGCCACGGUGAAUACGUUCCC
rnacentral:rRNA from 1 species